CUCGACUCCAUCAGAGGUGCAGUACAUUGGCCAGCUUAAUCUGACCUUACAAAUACAACAGUCAAAGCUUUAAAUGGCUGGUGGAGAAUGAUGUUGGGUACAUUACGUAGUCAGUCUGUUACUUGAGGUGUGCUUAACAUGGAUCCAUGAACAUUUUAGACACCAAUGUGCCACAAAAUAGGCAACAAUGCCUUAAGCCUUCAAAGGAGGCCAAGUCACUGGCAUCUUGCAACCCAUAUAUGACAGGAUCACACUCCAGGAUCAAAAGAAGAUGUCAGCCCAUCACCUCGACUCCGUCAGAAUUAAUAUUGGCCAGCUUAAUCUGACCUUUGGCAAAUUCAACGGUCAAAGCUUUAAAUGGCUGGUGG